AUUCGAAAGCUGUAAUAACUUGGGAAGGCCUUGACUGAUUUUUGAUGAAAUCCUAUCCAUUAUAAAAGGCAUUAAUAGAUACCUCAGGUUUUAUUUAAAUGUAGUCUGCCCCCUUGAAACAAAAUGACAGAAGUGUCCAAAACACCGUUUCUUCAGUAAUGUGAAAUGGAUUUCAGUGGAAAUCAGUGCAUUUUUAUAAGGUACAGAGGAGAUGCUGUCCUGCCAGGAGAAAUUUCUGUGUCAAAGGAAGGUAUUGCUGUGUAACCAGUGGUGGGUGAAUUACGUACAGGGCUGUCUGGCCUCAGUGACAGACAUCAGCCCUCCUACUGAUCUUCGCUCUCUUCCACUGAUGACCUCACCAUUCCCACCUCCCCUUACACAGGUCCUCGGUGCCCCCCCCCCAAGGUUACGUAUGGUUGCCUAUCUGGACCUUGACCCUCAGCUUCUCUCCUGGCUUCAUUUACAUCUCUCUCUGAUUCCUUGCCUUUGGGGACUCCUUCCAGGCAUUUCUGGUUUACUCCACCUCUGAGGGCUGCUUCCUGCUUCUCCCUUCAUGGAACUUAUAUUUUAGUUGGGGCAGCGGGUGGAACAUAUGGCCAAAUGAAUAGCGUGUAGGUGCUGCUGAGAACACCUAAAAGGUAUACCCAAACUUGGGAGGAGGGCAGGGUAUCAGGAAAAGCAUCCUGAAGGAGGUGUUAGAUAGGUGAACUUGGAGAAUCUACUCAUUCUUUGAUUGACUUCUCAGAACCCUUCUGUGUUCCGGGGUGGGGUGGGUAGGCACUGUGCUGGUUGCUGGUAAAUAGCUGAGAACAAAGUAGGCAGCAUCGUUCUUGCUCUAGUGAACCUUAGGUUUUAGUAAGUAGGGUUGAGGUAGCCAAGUAAGGUGCUAUUGGGAGUUUGAGGACUUCAGGCAGAGGGAACAGAAUGGGCAGAAUGUUUAGAUCCUGGACAGAAUGAAUAUACCCAAGGCACACAAAGAAGGAAGACAGGGGCCAGAUCACAAAGGAAUCUGUAAACUUUGGAGUUUGAACUUGAGUUUGAGGGUGAGGGGCUGCCUCUGAAUGCUUUUAGGUAGGAGAGUUGCAAAGUCAUGUUGGUAUUUUAUUUUUAUUUUUUUGUCUUUUUAGGGCUGCACCCAAGGCAUACGGAGGUUCCCAGGCUAGAACCUACACCUAGCCACAGCAACACCAAAUCCAAGCUGUGUCUGUGACCUACACCAUUGCUCAUGGCAGUGCUGGAUCCUUAACCCACUGAGUGAGGUCAGGGAUUGAAUUUGUGUCCUCAUGGGUGCUAGUCAGAUUUGUUUCUGCUGAGCCACAAUGGGAACUCCCAUUUUGAUAUUUUUAGAAAGUGACAAUAAGAAAGAAAAGUAGGUGAAUCUGAGUGAGAUUCUGGAAGAUAGUUUGUUGAGUGGAUGUGGAGGAGUGAGGCCUGGGAGACACCACAGCUGACUCGGGAGUUUAUUGAUGGAACAACUGAUGGAUGGUGGCAGCAAACUUGGAGAUGGGGAAGCUGGAGAGGAACAGGGUUUUGCAAAAGGGGAUGAAAUUGGGACACACUGAGUUUGAGGCGCCUGUGGAGGCAUCCAAGUGGACAUAUCCUGAAGGCAGCUGAAUAGACAGAUCUAGGGUUGAGAGCAAAGCCUGGCUCGGAGGCCCAUAGUGGGAAGCCUUAGCAUAAUGAACUUUUUAGAGCAUGGGGGUGGAUGAAUUUGCUUAGGGUUGUCAGAACAAGUUGAGGGUAAUAAACUAUAGGACAGAUGUGGGGCUUAUGGGAUGAACUGAGGAUGAGCAGCUAAAGAAGGUGGAGGAAAACCAGGUGGUUUGCCAGAAACUAAGGACAGACCCAUGGAAAUAGGAGGGAGCGGUCAGCAGGGUCAAAUGCCAAAGUGGAAAAAUUGAAUGAGGUCUUGAAAGAGCCAUUGGGAGGGUAGUGACCUUGGAGGGAAGGAUAUGAGGGGAUGGUUAGGCUUUUCUGCCCCUAUGAUGUCGAUUGAACGCUUUGCAUUUUUUCCAUCAACACCAUUCUAGUUCAAGAGAUCAUCUCUCACCAAGACAUUUGCUAUAGCCUCCUGAAUGGUCCACAAACAUAUUCUCUAGUCUGCAGAGAGUGAUCAUGUGAAAGGCAAAUCUAGUUAUGCCACUUCCUGCUUAGCAUCUUACAAUGGUUCGAUGCUGUUGGGAUAAGGCAAGUCCUUGGACAUGGAGCACAGUCCUCCUGCCUCUUCUCUCCUCAUCUUGAACCAUGUUCUGUCGCUCCACCCAGGCACAAGCUGCUGCUGCCGGCCUGUACCACAGCCACAGCAAUGCAAGAUCCGAGCUGUGUCUGUGACCUACACCGCAGCUCAUGGCAAUGCCAGGUGCUUAACCCACUAAGCGAGGCCGGGGAUUGAACCUUUGUCCCCAUGGAUACUAGUCAGAUUGGUUUUCUCUGAGCCACGAUGGGGACUCCUUUUUUAAAAAAUAUUCUUUUCCAUCAUGGUCUAUCCCAGGGACUUGGAUACAGUUCCCUGUGCUGUGCAAUAGAAACCUGUUUAUCCAUUCUAAAUGUAAUAGUUUGCAUCUACCAGUACCAAACUCCUAGCUUACUUCUUCCUCUUCGCUUGUCUUGUGGAUUUUGGUUCCAGCUGUACUUUGUUAGAGUCUUUCCUUACUUCCCUUACCUGAUCACAUUUGAGUGUUGGCAUAGCACCUGUCUUUGUUUCACUGCUAUGUCAGACUGCAGUAGAUUCCUAGUCCUUCCCCCUCCCUGUAUCCAUGCCCUUUGCCAUGUGGCUUUGCAGUUUCCCCCCGAGAGAAUAUUCCCCUGAUCCACUGAAUUUGGGCCUGGCCACGUGACUUGCUCAGGCCAGUAUUACAUCAUAGGUGGAGUGAGAGUGUGCCAGUUCUGAGCAUGGACCUUGGGAGGCUUUGCAUAUUCUGUCAGCUCUUCUUGAGCUUCUGCCGUGGCUCACCCUGAGACUGGGCCUUGCAAUGUGGAGUGGACCUAAGCCCUUUCUGUAGUCUGCAACCUGGAGUCCAGCCUAGUGCAGUUUACUUGUAGUGCAUUUGCAGAUAGGUGAGAAUAAGUGAGUUUAUGCAUAGUUUGUUAGGCAAAAUUGUCUUGGCAAUAGAUGGCUGAUAGAAUAGCGACCACAGUUGCAGUUCCAUAUGUGUAUAUGUUAUUUAUGUUUGUUGUGCGACUAAACACUAAAUUCCAUGAGGGCAAAUUUUGAGUCUAUUUUGAAUACUGUAUUUCCCAGCAGUCCUGCAUGGUGCCUGAUACAUGGUAUAUGUGUCACAUACAUUUAAGUGAUUAAAGUCUGUUCAGCUCAACUAUGUGGUAUGUCUUUAUCUUCCAUGAUGAUCUUAAGGUUUUACUGAGGCUGGUUGAACUGGGCCACUGCCAAAGGUAUCAGGAUAGAUUUUUGCAUUCAAUUAGAAUACUUGGCUAACGAAACAAAAUAAACAAAAUGACAACUUUUAGAAAUGUAUGUUUUUGGUAGUCUAAAAAGAAAUUUGAGAGAGUUCCCACUAUGGCAUGGUGGGUUAAGAACCUGACUGCAACAGUUCAGGUUGCUCUGGAGGCAUGGGUUCAGUCCCUGGCCCAGUGCUGUGGGUUUAAGGAUCUGGCAUUGCCAUAGUUGCAGUGUAGGUUGCAGCAGUGGCGCUGAUUCAGUCCAUGAGCUGGGAACGUUCAUAUGCUGCAGGUGCAGCUAUUAAAUAGAUAAAAUUCUGGUAAACCAUUGGUUUGUGUUAAGAGAUUAUGGUGUGAAUUGUGGGGGGAAAUAAUUGAUCUGCUGUCUUGAAGCAAAAAUGAGUAUGUUAAUCACAAAUUCUGCUGAGUUAAGACUUCUUAUAUAGGUUGCUGUGUGUAACAUUUAUUAUUCUACCCUAUGUACAAAUAGGUCAUUUUCCUAGGUAAUUUCUACAUCAGAAACAGGUCAAAGCUUUAAGAUCUAUUAAGAUCUGUAGUUGACUUGAGAGGUAAUUUUGGUGGAGUUGAGAAAAACUUUCACCCAUGGAAUUUACUGUCUUGGGGGUGGCGGGGGGAGGCAUGUUGUGAUUGGAAAUGAAUGCAGGGCUUGGAGUCAGAGGAGUACUUACUAGCAGUGACCACGAAAAUUGAUCUGACUUUCCUGAGCUUUAUAUUCUUUACCUGUAAAAUGGGGAUAAUGGAUAUCUGCUUCAUAAAAUUGUGGGAAAUGCAUUUCAAACAUAAAAGGGCUUGUAAGUUAAUGGAAUGAAAGAGAAAUAAAGAGUAGAAUUGGUUGUUAAAUGUUAAUUUAUAGUUAGCCACCUCGUUAGUGUUUCUUUUCUAGAAGUAGUCAAUUUUAAUGGGUUUUGGCAUAUGGUUCUGUCAUAUGGGAAAAUUAUUUUGCUGCAUUUUUAUGCUUAUUUCUUUUCUCAUUGCAUUGGCUAGUAUUGAAUUUUGAAAAAAGCAGUGUUACUUUGUUGCUUUUUAAAAAAAUACUUUGAGAUAUGAUUAAUGUAUAGAAGCCUGUACAUACUUAAUGCAUACAGCUUAAUGAGGUUGGAGAUAAGGCAUGUCCAUGAAACCAUCACUGUAUUCCAUACCAUAAAAAUACUUACCACCUUCAGGGAGUUCCCAUUGUGUCUCACUGGAAAUAAGCCCAACUGGUAUCCAUGAGGAUGCUGGUACAAUCCCUGACGCCUCUCAGUGGGUUGGGGAUUUGGUGUUGCAGUGAACUGUGGUAUGACUUGCAGAUGUGGCUCAGAUCUGGUGUUGCUAUGAGCUAUGGUAUAGGCUGGCAGCUGCAGCUCUGAUUCGAC
rnacentral:lncRNA from 1 species